ensembl:snoRNA
AAGCUUUCUUAAAAUGUCUUUUUCACUCCAACUGUAUGCGAGAGCAACCUGGAGAGAUUUGAUAGCUCAGGUCAACUCAAUACCUGUGGCUGCUACUCACCUUUCCUAUAAGG